CGAGCUGAGCCGCGCGUCCCGAGCCCAGCCUCUCCGGGGAGGAGGGACCCGGCGGCGCGGCGUGGGUCGGGAGCGGGCGCCUGGGACUACUUCUCGUUUGAAAGUUUUCAGAGGCCAAAAGUUUGAGCCGGGGCUGCGGAAGGAUCCGGCUCUGGCCGUUGCCGCGCUCGGCGACAAUUGGCGACGGAAAUUUGCAUGGCCCCGUGGCCGCGGCUUUAGGCGUCCAGAGGAUCGAUCGCCGCCAGACACCCCUGGCCGUGAUUGCCUGAGCACUUGACCGCGAGGGAUGGGGGCGCAGCGGCCUCAGGGCAAGGAGUUUAGGGCGCCCCAAGGGAGCAGCCAGGACCAGUGCCUCGCGGACGUAUUGCGCCCCGCUCCCCCAGGGGGGACCCGCGUCGACAUGCUCCUUGGUCACCGUCCUCCUCCUGCCCGGGCGCCGCCUGCCUAAGGUGGCCCGGGAAAGCACAAACGGGUCGGGCGGAUCUGCCGCUGGCGCCGGCGCAGCCCCUCCCACGUGCCCCUUCCGGCUGAUUUAUUUCUCCACCACGAUGCCAGGCACGGGCACCCUGUGCCAAGCCUGGUUAAGCGCCAGGAGUCCAAAAUGCCUGCCAUAGUCCCUGCACAAAGUUCACGGCCUCGUGCCGGGGAGAGACAGCGCCCCCUCCCCACCCCAACACAGGGUGGUGAGUGCGAUGGCAGAAGGCGCUGGGGGCCCUCCUGGAGUAGGAGAGCUAUGCCUGCCCUGCAGGGAGACUGAAAGGCUGAGAGGGACCUAGGACUCUGGGAGCCUGGGGGAGUGGCUGCAGAAACCCCAGAGCAUGGUGGCAGAGGGAGGCACAGAAAGCAGGACAAAUCUCACACCUGACUCCAGCGAGCCUUUCUUGGCACACCUCUUGCCAAGUGCUGAGCACUCUGGAAACAGCCAGUGCAGACGGCCUAUCCCCCCCUGUAGCUGCUGCUGGGAGCCUGCCUCGCCUGGGUCCUCCCAGAAGCUGGCCUCACUUCUCCAGGCCUGGGGUAACAUCUCGGGGUCAGCGCCCCAGGAGAGGAGGCGCCUGGAGGCAGCAGAGAUGUUUAUGUAACAGCAGCCCGGCAGCCUGGAGGAGCAGAUUUUCCAUAGAAGGAAGCGCCGGGGCUGUGCAGCUCCCAGGCUGAGGACACUGCCCACCUCGACGUCCUCUGCUCCGGGUGGGUGGGGGUGAGGUGGGGCACAGGGAGGCCUGAAGGCCUCAGGCCUAGUGCUGAUCAGGUGCAACUGCCUGUGUGCCUCCGUUGGCAUCUCUGCCUGUGAGCCCCAGGCCAGAAGUAAUGGCCCAUGUAGCCCUAGCUGGGGGGCCAGUCCUCAGCAUUUUUCGAAGGGGUGGCCUGGGAGGGGAGGGGAUCCCUGGAUGGGGGUUCUCCCCUGGUCUGCCCCAGCUGUGCUGACAGCAUCUCCACCUGGGGCCUCUAUCCUCUACCAGCAGAGAAGAGAGUGGCCACCCAGCAGCCAGGCACGUUCAUAAGCCCAUGUUACAGGUGGUGCAGCCGGGUUCACAGACCUGAGGGAAGCACAGGCCUCAGCCUCCCAGCUCCCAACGCCUGCACCACCCACAGCCGGGAGUACCCCAUGGACAGCUGGGGCUGAGAAGAAGCAAGGGAUGAGGGGGAUGGGCCAGCCUGGGAAGGGGGUGGGCCCCUGGCAAGUAGGUGAGAAGCUUCAUUCACAAGUUGUCUGGGCUCCCCAUUCCUCUUUUUCAGGCCAGUGGGUGUGGGCAGUGGGGAAAGGCAGGGGUCCUACCCAGCAGGAGUGCAUCUGCUGCCCUGGGGCCUGGAGACCUUCUCCUGCAGGUCAGGGGGGCAGCCCUGGGCAGCAGGCAUUGCAGGGGCUAAAGAGAAACAAAAGAAGGCAGGUUGUGUGCAGGGCACCCCAGCCACUCCAGAAACCCAAUCAGAAGGUGGGGGCUAGGACCCCAAGAAGCCGAAUUGGGGUGCAGUGCUGCCAGGCCUCCUGCGUGGGAGUCACUUUGGGCUUCCUGUCCCAGCUUGUGGUGGGAGCUGGGACAAGGUUCCCGGGAUACCCCUGGGGGCAGGAGUACCCUGAAUGAAGGGGCUGUUCCCAAGCUGGCCAAGGAGCCUGGAAGCAGAGGAGAUGGGGCUGCAGAGCCGGGUUUGCGGAGGGGAGAGGCAGACGUGUCCCGCAGCCCCCGCUUCUUCAGAGGCCACGUGCAGGUGCGGAGGGGACAGCAGCCUAGGCACUGCACCCCAGGAGACUGAACUGGGUCAGUUCCCCCUCGUUUGCUGCCAGAGAAAUGGGGGUACCAUUGUCAGGGUAGGCUAAGGAGGCCCUGCUGACAUUGGCCCAACCAGGCCCCUCCUUUGCGGCUGCUGUGAGGGCUUUCAAGAGCAGAGCAGACCCUAAGUGUGUGAAGAGGCGAAAGCACAGCUGGUCAGCACACGGGGACAGCGACGGAGCUCCUGCCGCCUGCUUGGCCCCAGGUGCUGUGCAGCACGGAGACCCAGGAAUCCGUCUUGGCUCUUGCUGCCCCCAUGACCCUGUGGCGCUGGGGAGCAGGGAGCGCGAUGCUCCCCAUUUUUCAGGAGGGAAGCUGAGGCUCAGAGACAUCAUGAGGAUGCCAGCUCAAGGCCCAGCCAGGCCUUGGUCCUCAGCUGCUGUCAUCCAGUAGGGAUGGAUUUGGGCCGGCCCUUGUUCGAGGAGGCUGGGGUCUGGAAUCUGCUGCCCCUGCUGCAUGCAGACAGCCACCGUCACCCAGGCCCGGGGUGCCCACAGGUACUGGGCAUCUCACCCUGGCCCUCACAGGGGUCGCUCCCACCCUGCACCUCUCGGUCUGUGCCGUGGACUUCCCUGCUCUGCUGUCACAGGCCUUGUCCUCUGCCGAAGCAGUCUCUUCCCCACGUGUCCCUGAGACUCCUCAGCCAUCCCAGAGGCUCUCGGCCGUCUGAGCGUCUCGAACACGAAGCUUUCCUGACCUGUGUAUGAGGCAGAACCUGUCCCUGCCAGGACCCAGCACCCACACCAGAGGAUCCGGAAGAUUUGCUGAUGGACCUGACUGCAAGAAGCUGAAGGAAUGUGGGCGCAGGCCCAGCAGUGGCUUGCGUGGUACCAAGUCAACUGGCUGUCCAUGCAAGCCACUGUGACCGGCCCUCCUGUUGGCGCCUGGAGCCCUCCCUGGACCCAGUUGCCAGAACAGUGGCCCCCAGCUGUGGCCAGGACUGUGCCCGGGGCCCUGUCUGCUCGGUGUCUCCAGCGGUCCCCACGCAGAAAAUGCCCCCUUUGCUACCUCUGAGGCCUGGGAUAGGGUCAGCGUCCGAGAGGCAGGCCCUACUGUUCCCCUCUGCACAGAGGCUGAGGGAGUGAGUUGCCCGGGCAAGUCCCCAGGCAGGCACUGAACCUCCUGAGCAGGUGAGCGGAGAAGGCCCCAGCUGGUGUGGGCCUCGAGGGCUGUAGGACUGACCAUGGAGCAGACCUGGCGUUGUCGUUCUAGAGCUGGGCCAGGGGGUGGCUGGUGCAGCACAGAUCUCAGGCGGAGGCCACCUGCCCGUCCUUUGCAUGUGACUCAGGGCUCAGACCCACCUGCCUGUCCCUGGAAGCUCCUAGACUGCUCAGAGCACAGACCUCAACGGGAAAGACAGUAGAUGGGUCUGGGUAUGGUCUCCCAGCCCUGAGAAGUGGAGAGCCCACUCAGACCUUUCCAGGACCCCAGGUCCCCUCAGCAGCCCACAGAGCCUGGGUGGAGCCUGGGCUGGGUUUGGGUCACUCGGGGGCCAAUGGCCUAUUUCUGCGGCUUCCAGGGAGUCCCAGGGAGACGGCAGAGGCAGUGCCUGGCUGGGGACCCUGGUUGGCACGCCGUUUGGGGGGUGCAUGCACUGGGAAGUUGGCCAGGCCUGCCCAAAUCAGGGGGCUUCCGGGAGGAGAGACAUCAGGAAGGUGGGCACCGAGGAGGCUUAGCACCGGGGCUGGCACCUCCAGGCAGGGCCCGUGGGGGGCUGGACCAGACAGGGAGGCUGUCACGAUGCUUGGUUCUUGGAUGGGGGCACUGAGGCUCGGAGUGGGGUGGCAGAGCUUGGCCACCAGGUCCAUCUGCACCCCCAUAUCCCCUCACUACCUCCAGACCCCCAUGAUCCCAAAUUACUCAGUCCCAGGGACCCCUGCAGAGCCUGUGGGGGAGACUUCCAUGCUGCCUGGCCCAUGCCCCCCUCACCUCAGAACUUUCUCCAAAAAGUAAGAGCCCCGGGGGACGAAACUUCGAGGCUCCACCCCUUGGGCUCUGGUACAAACCCCGAGCCUCCGAGGGCUGAGUCACUGGGAAAGCCGGACCGGGUGGCCCCUCCCCCUCCCUUUCCUUCCUUCCUCCUUCCCCCUUUCUCGGUCCCCCUCUUUUACUCUUUGCUUUAUUUCUCUUUCUUCCCUCCCUCUCUCCCUCUCUUCUUUCCUUCCUUUUAUCUUCCUCCCUUCCUCCGUCUUUGCCUUUCUUCCUUUCCAGGGGUAAAAAUAGCUGGAAACCCCCCUUUAAAAAAAACUUUAUUUUAAUCUUAGAAGGACGAUGUUGGUGUCCCAAAACAGAAUCCUUUGUCCCGGCGGAGCCACCAGCAGAGCCAGGAGCCCCCAAAGGACUUUGACCACACCCCCCACCCCACCCAGCCUGUUCCUGGUCCCCUGAGUGGAGCCUGGGCCAUCCUUGACCUCACUGCUGGGGUGAUGGAGAAGCUCCUGCCUGAGGCGAGAGUUUCUCAGGCAGCCGGAGUUUCCUCCCAUCUGCUCCAGACACAUUUAAACAAGCUGAGAACUUCCGUCCCCCCACACUCCCCCCACAGACCCCCACGGACCCCUCUGCAAAUGAACAUGGGCCUGGAAAUCGGGGUUUGGGUUACAGAGAGCACGGGGAGUUCUGUUCGUGAAGUAACACGGAGCACGAACGUUAGCAGCUAAGGAAAAAAAUUGCCAAAAACCAGAGGCGCUGCUGAGUGUUGGCGUGGGAAUGUUAGUUUAGUCAGAGCCUUGCUCUGGGCCAUUUAAAGAAAAACAGGCAUGUUGGUGGCAAAUGCCAGUUGAACACGCAGGAGAGCGGUGCUUCUGGGACCCGGAGAAGGGUGUGCAGCUGCACUCUCUCUUCCCUUUUUUCUUGGCCUCCCCAGCCUUCUUAUCAUCACGAUCAGCAUUUCACUGGUAAACAUUUGGUGCAAUAAUUUUCAAAAAUCAGCAAGAAAAGUCUGAGCGUUUAAUGUGGCUGGGACUGCGCGGCCCCAGCUGGAAGUGUGGAUUCCCAGCGCCUCCCGGAGCCCGUCUCCGAGGGAUCUCCAGUCACUUGAGGGCCUUUGCACGACAUAAAUCAGACCGACUAUCUCUAGGAUGGAGAGGGGGAUAAACUCACUUGUAGCAAGUGAAGGCCAGAGGCUGCCCUGGGAUGGCAUUGCCUGUUCCCAGGGGCGUGCGGUGGUGGAGCAGACAGGGGAACCCUGGGGCCCCCUCCCCUCCUUGCUGGGGAUGCUGCACAGACCCACCUUCAGGGACCCAAAUUCAGAGCCUGCCCCAGGGGUGGCGAACGUAUCUGGGACACUGAUCACCCACCUACUGGGUGCGUCUUGUGGCCUUUCGGUCUUUUUUUUUUUUUUUCAGAUGGAGUCUCACUCUGUAGCCCAGGUUAGAGUGCAAUGGCGUGAUCUCGGCUCACU